rnacentral:SRP_RNA from 1 species
AACUAAAAAAAUUAGUUGUUUUUUUUUAGUUUUUAGUUUUUUAGGGUUUUUUUGAGGCUGGUCGAUCUCUUGAGCUCAGGAGUUUUGAGCCACAGUGAGCUAAGCUGCUCAGGUAUAUACACUAAGUCCAGCACGGAUAUGGUGAGCUCCCAGGAGCAAGCAACCAGGCUGCCUGAGGAGGGGACAACUAACCCAGUUCAGAAAUGGAGGAGGUCAAAGCUCCAUUCCCAAAUUUGUAGUGAGAUUGGAUUUGUGAAUGGCCACUACAUGUGCAGCCUGGGUGAGAUAGAGAGAUUCAGUCUCU